UUAUUUGAGAAUUUGAUCCUGGUUCAGGAUGAACGCUGGCGGUGUGGAUAAGGCAUGCAAGUCGAGCGGUUCGAUUUCGUCGCAAGACGAAAUCGAAUAGCGGCGAACGAGUUAGUAACACGUAGGAACUUACCCCAAAGACGGGAAUAACCCUCCGAAAGGAGGACUAAUACCCGAUGGCAUGAAGGUUAAAAUCUUCAUUAAAGUCGCAAGACGCUUUGGGAGAGGCCUGCGGGCUAUCAGCUAGUUGGUAGGGUAAUGGCCUACCAAGGCGAUGACGGCUAGGGGGCGCGAGAGCGUGUUCCCCAACGUAAGGNUGAGCGUAUCUGUAGAAUAAGGCGCUGCUAACUUCGUGCCAGCAGCAGCGGUAAUACGAAGGCGCCAAGCGUUAUCCGGAUUUAUUGGGCGUAAAGAGUUCAAAGGGGGUCAUGUUAGUCCGAUGUCAAAGCUCGCAACUCAAUUGCGAAAGCGCGUCGGAAACGGCAUGACUUGAGGAAAUUAGAGGCAAGUAGAACGGCUGGUGUAGGGGUGAAAUCCGUUGAUAUCAGCCGGAAUACCAAAGGCGAAGGCAUCUUGCUGGAAUUUUCCUGACCCUGAAAGAACGAAAGCGUGGGUAGCGAAUGGGAUUAGAUACCCCAGUAGUCCACGCCCUAAACGAUGAGUGCUCGCUGUUUGAAGUAUCGACCCUUCAAGUGGCUUAGCUAACGCGUUAAGCACUCCGCCUGGGAAGUACGAGCGCAAGCUUAAAACUCAAAGGAAUAGACGGGGACUCGCACAAGCGGUGGAGCAUG
rnacentral:ncRNA from 1 species